rnacentral:rRNA from 1 species
GACGAACGCUGGCGGCGUGCCUAAUACAUGCAAGUCGAACGCAGUGGGGACGGGUGAGUAACCCGUGGGUAACCUCCCAUCAGAGGGGAUCACCCUUGGAAACAGGUGCUAAACCUAUACUGAUGGAUUGACCCGCGGUGCAUUAGCUAGUUGGUGAGGUAACGGCCUACCAAGGCAACGAUGGAUAGCCAAACUGAGAGAGUGAUCGGCCAGACUAGGGCUGAGACGCGGCCCAGACUCAUACGGGAGUCAGCAGUAGGGAAUCUUUGGCAAUGGACGAAAGUUUGACCAAGCAAAGCCGCGUGAAUGAAGAAGGUUUUAGGAUCGUAAAACUCUGUUGUUAGAGAAACGGUAACUAACCAGAAAGCCACGGCUAACUACGUGCCAGCAGCCGCGAUAAUUA